rnacentral:lncRNA from 1 species
CAACAGUAAAAAAACAAUCCAGUUAGAACAUGGGCAAAAGACAUGAGACAUUUCACCAAAGAGGAUACACAGAUGGCAAAAAAGCAUAUCAUUAGCCAUGAGGGAAGGGAAAAUUGAAACCACAAUGAGGUUCCAUUACACAUUAGAAUGGGAGAAAAGUGACAAUACCUAAUGCUUGUGAGGAUGCAGAGAAACUGGAUCACUCAUUCAGCGCUGGUGGGAAUGUAAAAUGGUCUAGCCAUUCUAGAAAACAGUUUGAAAGUUUCUUAAAAACCUAAACACACAACUAUCAUAGGACCCAAUAGGACCCAUAGGACCCAGAUUUAUCCCAGAUAAAUGUUUCAGGUUUUUGCGGAGUUUUUUAUUCUUGGUCAUAUUUUUUUUCCAUUAUAUUUUCUAUUGAGGUUAUGAUAGUUUACAACCUUGUGAAAUUUCAGUUGUACAUUAUUAUUUGUCAGUCAUCUUACAGGUGCACCCCUUUACCCUUUGUGCCCACUCCCCUCCCCCCAGUAACCACUAUUCUGUUCUCUUUGUCCACGUGUUGUUUAUCUUCCACAUAUGAGUGGAGUCAUACAGAGACUGUCUUUUCGCUAUCUGGCUUAUUUGGCUUAAAAUAAACCCUCAAGGUCCAUCCAUGUUCUUGUGAAUGGGACGAUUUUACCCUUUUUUAUGGCCGAGUAGUAUUCCAUUGUGUAUAUAUACCACAUCUUCUUUAUCCAAUCAUCAGUCGAUAGGCCCUUGGGAUGCUUCCACGUCUUGGCUAUUGUGAAUAGUGCUGCAAUGAACAUAGGGGUGCAGAAGUCUCUUUGAAUUGCUGAUUUCAAGUUCUUUUAUUCCAGAUGAAUGAAGACUUACGUCCACACAAAGACCUGGACGUGAAUGUUAACAGCAGCUGUAUUUGUAAUAGCUGGAGACUGGAAACGACUCAGAGUCCUUCAAUGGGUGAAUGGGUCAGUGAACCCGGGCCAUCCACUCCAGGGAAUCCUACUCAGCAGUAAGAAGAAAGGAACUGCUGGCACACACCACCUGGAUGAAGCUCCCAAGAAUUCGCUGAGUGAAAAACGCCGUUGUCCGAAGGCUACACACUGUGGGAUUCCAUCACCGUGACAUUCAUAAAAUGACAAAAUUAUAGAAAUGGAGGGAGAUUGCAAUAUUAUCAUAUAGUUUUGCAAGAUGUUGCCAUCGGGGGAAACCAGGUGAACAUGAGAUCUCUCUGUUUUAUUUCUUACAACUCCAUCUCAGAAUAACAAGUUUAUGGCUGGCUUAGUCCUACACCAUCCUGGGAGGCAGGUGAGACCAGAAGUGGGACUGGUGUCCACACACAUAGCCCCAGGCCCACAGUGUGUCCACGGCCCCUUUCUGGCAGGGCCUCAUUGCCCAGGGCUCUGACAUCCUUCAGGCAUCCUCUGUCUGUCCCACAUCCGCAGCGGCUAUGUGCCUCUCUUUCCUCUCAGUCCCAAAAAGCAUCAGUUAUUGAACACAUUGUCUAUGCCAGAUGGCCAUGUGGCUGCAGAUGAGCAGCCACCAGUGUCUUGCUUGCUGCCCAGGAGCCUCUCCAGUGACUGGAUGGAGAAGACCCAGUCUGGGGGUCAGGUAGAUGGUCUGUGCCCAACACAACCCCACCCCCCAACUGCACCCUGCCAGGCUUGGCAGGAGGCCUGGCACUGGGGCUGGCAUCAACUGGGCCCAGAAGGAGGUCAUGGAGGCCUCGCUUACGCUUGUUUCCCAUAAUUCUGGCUGCUUCCAGUCCCUUUCCUCUCCAGACACUGACGCAGAGCCUACCAACACGCUGAGGCCCCCUUUCUCAGCUUCCUGCUCGGCCACCGUAUCUUCUCAUUUCCUGUUUACCCAUCUCCCCUUUGGAAUUGCCUUGAGUUCCACGGGUGUGACAUCAACAGGCCUGGAAUGCCAUCCCCAGUCGCCACGCGAUCACCAAGACCACCACUGUCGUGCUUCUCCAUCCUUGCCCCCCCACCCCUUGUCACAGCUGUCUCCUCCCUGGGGUUCCAGGAGGCCCGGGCUGCUUCCUUCCCUUGAAAAUCCAUGUUGUCACAAUUGGGACUGUCGCUCUUUUUGAUGCUCAAAAUAACCUCGAAGACCAGUUGCAGCCAAACAGUCCCCCUGGGCACAGAUGGGGAGACUGAGCCAGGCCUGCUCCUGACCUCCUGACCUCGGGACAGCUGGGCCUGGGGACAGUGGCCCGGGACAGGGCACUGGAGGGUGCAAAGGCGUUCUGGUUGUACUCCUGGUUACACUGGUGUCUCUCAUCGGAAUCGUGGACCCAGGCCUGGGGAGGAGGUCUGGCAGAGCCCUCAAGGCCACUGCGGCAGCAAGGCCCAAAGGCUUCUCUGCUUUUCUGGGCCCCAACUUGGCCAUCGUCUGCCUGGGGUCCCUCCGCCCUUCUCUAGGCGGUCCCUUGGGCCUCUGUGCCCAGCCCCUUUCUCCUGGCCUGUGGUCAGCAUCUCAUGGGGACCUGUGGCAUGUUGACCCCCCAGUGUGAACCCUGGGAGAGGAGGGUGGCGACCACCACUUUCUCCUGCAUGUGCUGCUGUGUGUUGCAGCCGGACAGGGCUGGUGGCCGCCAUGCAGGCCAGAAGCACCAGUCCUACCUACUCUGUGCCCUCUGCCUGCAGCUGGCAACUGCCUGGGAAGUCCUGGAGGGAGGACAGGGCUAGCACACCGGCAGUACAUCUUGCCCCGGGGGCCAUGCACGGCUGCUCACGAGGCUAGAGCGUGGGGCAGCACACGCCCCAGAAGACACCAGCACCUGGGGGUGGUUGUGAAGAGUCGUGGCUGCAAAAAUGAGUCUGGUAAGAGUUUGUGAGAGGGAAAUGAGACCCAGUGAUUCCUUUUUCUUGCGAGGUCUCACUUGCGUGUCCCCGGUUCCAGCUCCCAAAUGUACUCUGGUGAUGCUUCUUUGGUCUGACCCGGCUCAGCCACCCCUGGUGGGAUGCUGGCCAGAACUGCUCAGGCUUGGUAGCUGGGCCCAUGCCUCCCACAGGCUGCUUGGAGCCACUGGUGAUGUUGAAGAGGCCCUCCUUCCCUGCAAGAGCAGCCUGGGCUCGGGAACUCGGUCUCCUGCCACUCCCCCGCCUCGAGAGGACCCUGAUAGUGGUCCUGCCCAUUGGCCUUGGAGCAGCCCCGUGGGCUCCACUUUACAGACAGCCUUUGGAACAGGGAGGGGACAGGCGCCGAUUUCAGCGCAGGACAGGAGGGCACCCCGCUGGAGAGCGACUGCCUUGCCUCGUGCAUUCGUUGUUGGGGCUGGCCUGGGCUGGCCCAGCACCUGAGACGUCUCGCCUCAUCAGUUUGCAGGCAUCAUGGCGUAUGGUGGUGGGUCUGUCUACCACCAACUGGGAGCCCCUCCCCUCCUGAGGGCUUGGUGCGGUUCUGGCCUGUGGUGAGUGUGCAGGGAACGCCUGAUGGGGACUGAGGCCAAACGGGAGCAGAGAGGAGCAGGGCAGAGCCGGGCCCUCACCCUGGAGGCGGGAGCAGGAGGCCUCGCCCAGGCAUUGGGGAUGGCAGCCCCUCACCUCCUAAGCAUCCACCGUGAUCCUGGCCCCAGACCUCUGCCCUGUGCCGGGCAGGCAGAGCUCUGCAGAUGGCUCUUCUCUGCAGGCAGAGGAACCCCCGACGACCUGCAGCCAGAAAGAGGGGUGGGAAGGAGAUGAUGAAGGGGAGUGAACUGAGACCCUGAGUCCUUGCCCUCACCCAAGUAUGACCAGUCGCCAGAGACCCAGGAAACCAGAUGACGGAUGUGUGCUCUGAGGGCUCUGGUCGCCGCCUUCUCACCUGGGCAUGACAGCCAGUGCACCUGUGCCACCAACCCACUCUGCCCUCCCCGGCUGGUGCCCGGGCCCCAAGGCCAGCAUGCACCAGGCAGGGUGCCACCAGCAGGGCAGGUACCAGGGCCACGGAGGGCCUUGGCCUGCGCAGCUGGGCAGUGGGCACCAGAGCCCUCGCUGCGUCCUGUUGAUUCUGGGAGGGUUUUCCGAUCUCUCUGGCCUGAUGCUCGCAUGGCCAGCCGGGGAGCUGGGAUGCAGUGGAGAGGUGGAGCCAGCCUUUGCAACCCCAAGCCCCGGCCCUCGCUGGCAGAGAGGUGGCCGUGGGGGAGGGGCAGGAGCUUCCCUCCGCUGUCUGGCGGGCCGCCUCCAGAUCUAGGUCAUCGUGCUUCAGCCUCACUCUCUGCCUUCCGCAAGCUGUGUUCCGUGGGAUUUUUUAAAUACCUGAAUGCCUCUGGGAGAAACUCAGUGUUGGUGCCAUUUCGUAUCUGCACCUUCGGCUUUUCGUGACAUUACAGAGCUACAGCGAGGACAGAGAGUCUCAGAGAUGCCAGGACACCUUGAGGAGGUCGCCUCCAGCCCCCUGGCCGUGGGACCCGUCCUGCUUUACUGCAAACACAGCAAUGUGUUUGACCAGGAGGUGCAGCCCCAGGCUCCAACAAGGUGUCCCGUAAUGGAUGAAAAAUUCUGAAUCGCAGACGCAUCUGGUCCUGAGGCUUUCUUUGGAUGAGAGCUGGAGCAGCGGAGUGUCCCCCACGCAUCCCAGUUCUGGAGAAGGAGAACAGGCUUUGGCCACCGACGGACCUUGGCAGAGCAAUGGUGCUGCUUACGUGACUUUUCCACUUAGUGAGCAAACAACUCUGUGCUGGGUGCUGUUGAUUCAGAGAUGGAGUCCCAGGAACCCCAAAUCCUCCUCCUCCCUCGCCCCUCACCGCCCUGGAACCCAGGGGUCAGCCAAGAGACCAAGGGCACAAGAGGGGCUGGGGAGGGAGAAGAGGCCAUGGAGGGUGCAGCAGGCCAUCUCCCUCCAAGGAGACCCUUGCCUGGGGAGCUAGUGCCCACAGGCCUAACUGUCCCUUUCUGAGGGACAGAAGGCGCCAGACGUGCCACUUGGGGGCACCCUGGAGAGGUCCAGGCAGACAGUGACAGAGAGAACUGGAGGCACUCAUGCUUGUGAACUCAUUGAAGUUCUGGGGCCUCAGCUUCCCCAUCUGUAAAUGGGGUGCAGGCCCUGGCUCUGCCUCCGCAGUGUCCCUGGCUGCCCUCCAGCACAGGAGGCCGAGACCCCCCUGCACCCCUUCUCAGGGUGGUCGCAGGUCUGCCUGUGGGUCUGCAGAGCAGAGCGUGCAGAGUUGGGGUUGGGGUGGGGCAGGCUUCAGGUUGGGCCAGUCCUGUCCCAGAUGUCAGCUCAGUUACCCUUCACAAAUAUCCCAGGAAAAGAGAGGGGGAACAUUGGCCCAGGACAAUUGCUUGGCCUCUGCAGUUUGCCCAGAUGUGUCCACUGCCAGAGCACACGGGCACAGCACCCAGCAGGCUGCAGGAGGGUAGCUGGGGUGGUGGCCCUGUGCCAGGUAUCAAGCCUUCUGUGACCAGCACCUUUCCAGCUGUAGCCGGGAACAGAACUCCCCAGGCCAGGGCCUCACACGUCCCUCGUGACGAGGAGAGAAGGCGGCAUCCACUGACCUCAGCGGGCAGAGCGCGCAGGGGCUAGCAUGAGGCAGCGAGACCCCCGGGGGCAGGCUUUGCAGAAGGCCCACAUCGAGGAACAGUCAGAGCCCAGGCACGGACAGGGGUCCCGCGAGAGCGCAGGGAGCCAGGGUCCGGGGCGGGCAGCGGCAGGUCCGCGCGGAGGGCGAGGGCAGCGCGCAUCUCGCCUGGUUCCCGGGCGCUGCCGAGAGACUGGAGGCGAGGGCGUCGCCGGGAGGCGGCGGCGCUGGGGCCUUUGGGGGGCGCCUGGUCCCCGCCCGCGCCGGCCGCGCCGGGUCGCGCGUGGGCGCGGCG